rnacentral:rRNA from 1 species
ACGGGUGAGUAAUAUAUCGGAACGUGCCCAAUCGUGGGGGAUAACGUAGAGAAAUUUACGCUAAUACCGCAUACGAUCUAAGGAUGAAAGCGGGGGAUCGCAAGACCUCGCGCGAUUGGAGCGGCUGAUAUCAGAUUAGGUUGUUGGUGAGGUAAAAGCUCACCAAGCCGACGAUCUGUAGCUGGUUUGAGAGAACGACCAGCCACACUGGGACUAAGACACGGCCCAGACUCCUACGGGAGGCAGCAGUGGGGAAUUUUGGACAAUGGGCGAAAGCCUGAUCCAGCAAUGCCGCGUGCAGGAAGAAGGCCUUCGGGUUGUAAACUGCUUUUGUACGGAACGAAACGGCUCUUUCUAAUAAAGAGGGCUAAUGACGGUACCGUAAGAAUAAGCACCGGCUAACUACGUGCCAGCAGCCGCGGUAAUACGUAGGGUGCGAGCGUUAAUCGGAAUUACUGGGCGUAAAGCGUGCGCAGGCGGUUAUAUAAGACAGUUGUGAAAUCCCCGGGCUCAACCUGGGAAUUGCAUCUGUGACUGUAUAGCUAGAGUACGGUAGAGGGGGAUGGAAUUCCGCGUGUAGCAGUGAAAUGC